UACAGAGGGUGCGAGCGUUAAUCGGAAUUACUGGGCGUAAAGGGCUCGUAGGCGGCCAACUAAGUCGGAUGUGAAAUCCCCAGGCUUAACCUGGGAACUGCAUCCGAUACUGGAUGGCUUGAAUCCGGGAGAGGGAUGCAGAAUUCCAGGUGUAGCGGUGAAAUGCGUAGAUAUCUGGAGGAAUACCGGUGGCGAAGGCGGCAUCCUGGACCGGCAUUGACGCUGAGUGAGCGAAAGCCAGGGGAGCAAACGGG
rnacentral:rRNA from 1 species